rnacentral:ncRNA from 1 species
UCAACAACAGUGAAGAGAAGAGUAGUUUAUUAUAAGCUUCAUAGAGAGUUCUUGGGUGGUGGAAAAGAACAAGUGGAGAUAAAUGAAGAUGGUCUUGGAGUUUUAUUGGUGAAUAAUGAGCCAAUAACGGAUGUACCCGUUACAGUACUAGAGUAUGUUGGUACUCGAAGAGGCUAUAAUUGUGAGAUUAUAGUAAAUUAAGGUGGUAACACGGGUGAUGCUCGUCCUUUCA